rnacentral:rRNA from 1 species
CCUACGGGAGGCAGCAGUGGGGAAUCUUGCGCAAUGGGCGAAUGCCUGACGCAGCGACGCCGCGUGUGGGAUGAAGGCCUUCGGGUUGUAAACCACUGUCGGGGGGGACGAAGGCCCGGCCGGUAACUCGGACCGGGAUUGACGGUACCCUCAAAGGAAGCACCGGCUAACUCCGUGCCAGCAGCCGCGGUAAUACGGAGGGUGCGAGCGUUGUCCGGAAUCACUGGGCGUAAAGGGCGCGUAGGCGGUUACGUAAGUCGGGUGUGAAAGCCCCAGGCUCAACCUGGGGAUGCCACUCGAUACUGCGUUGACUAGAGUCUGGUAGGGGAUCACGGAAUUCCUGGUGUAGCGGUGAAAUGCGCAGAUAUCAGGAGGAACACCGGUGGCGAAGGCGGUGAUCUGGGCCAGUACUGACGCUGAGGAGCGAAAGCGUGGGUAGCAAACAGGAUUAGAUACCCUGGUAGUCCCAGCCCUAAACGAUGUACAUUUGGUGUUGCUCAUUUUGGGCAGUGCCGAAGCCAACGCGAUAAAUGUACCGCCUGGGGACUACGGCCGCAAGGUUGAAACUCAAAGGAAUUGACGG